rnacentral:rRNA from 1 species
CAAGAUAGAUUUUUUGUUUGGUGGCGCGGCUACAAUGCAGUCGAGCGAAUGGAUUAAGAGCUUGCUCUUAUGAAGUUAGCGGCGGACGGGUGAGUAACACGUGGGUAACCUGCCCAUAAGACUGGGAUAACUCCGGGAAACCGGGGCUAAUACCGGAUAACAUUUUGAACCGCAGGGUUCGAAAUUGAAAGGCGGCUUCGGCUGUCACUUAUGGAUGGACCCGCGUCGCAUUAGCUAGUUGGUGAGGUAACGGCUCACCAAGGCAACGAUGCGUAGCCGACCUGAGAGGGUGAUCGGCCACACUGGGACUGAGACACGGCCCAGACUCCUACGGGAGGCAGCAGUAGGGAAUCUUCCGCAAUGGACGAAAGUCUGACGGAGCAACGCCGCGUGAGUGAUGAAGGCUUUCGGGUCGUAAAACUCUGUUGUUAGGGAAGAACAAGUGCUAGUUGAAUAAGCUGGCACCUUGACGGUACCUAACCAGAAAGCCACGGCUAACUACGUGCCAGCAGCCGCGGUAAUACGUAGGUGGCAAGCGUUAUCCGGAAUUAUUGGGCGUAAAGCGCGCGCAGGUGGUUUCUUAAGUCUGAUGUGAAAGCCCACGGCUCAACCGUGGAGGGUCAUUGGAAACUGGGAGACUUGAGUGCAGAAGAGGAAAGUGGAAUUCCAUGUGUAGCGGUGAAAUGCGUAGAGAUAUGGAGGAACACCAGUGGCGAAGGCGACUUUCUGGUCUGUAACUGACACUGAGGCGCGAAAGCGUGGGGAGCAAACAGGAUUAGAUACCCUGGUAGUCCACGCCGUAAACGAUGAGUGCUAAGUGUUAGAGGGGUUUCCGCCCUUUAGUGCUGAAGUUAACGCAUUAAGCACUCCGCCCGGGGAGUACGGCGAGGAAAUCGAAA